GAACUCAGGAGUAGGUUUUUGAUAAAAGAGUAAGUUCAGCCCCCUUCCUCUCUGUUUCUCCUUUGAGUGUUCUCUUGCCAUUCCACCUUCUGCCAUGAAAUAAUACAACAAGAAGGCCCUCAUCAGAUGCCAAACAGAUGAUGGUGCCAUGCUCUUGAACAUCCCAGCCUCCAGAAUUAUUCAUCCUCUACUGAUUCCAGGAUUAGGACAUCAUCAUAACAUAGCAGGAAAUUCACAAUCCUAGAGAUGGGGGUAUGGUGAGAUGCAAGAGCAUUAGAGGACUAUGGAAAUUAUGGGAGCAUGACAUUCUGAAAUUGCACGACUAAGGAAUUGGAAAUAUUUCUCAGGACAUGAUGAUUAUCUGGACACUGGCAAUGAAUCUUGAUCAUUCACCUCGGUGGCUGAGCACCUGUGAACAAGGCCCAGCUCACUGAUGAAGUUUCCCGUGGGCCAACUAGCUUCAAAGACGCGAAUACCGUCUGCACCGUGACGGCAGAUGACACUCCUAAUUCUAAGCAACCAGCUCACAAAGAGACAAGGCUUCAUGUUUGAGACCAAAGUCCUGACCUCAGGUGAUCCGCCCCCCUCGGCCUCCCCAAGUGCUGGGAUUACAAGCGUGAGCAACCGUGUCCGGUGAUGUCUGCAACUUUACUUUGAAAUGUAUCAAAAAAGAAAAAAGAUGGACAGCUGAAUGGGAAAAUGGAUGGAUAAACAGAAUAGAUACCUGAUAAAGCAGAUACAGUAAAUGUUAAUCAUAGAAUCUAAGUGGAGGGUAUACAGAUAUUUGCUGUAAAACCUUCCCCUUUUUCCAUAUGUUGAAAUUUUGUUCACAAUAAAAUGCUGAUAAAAGUUAAAAGAUGCAUCACAACUUGGAAUUUGCUUCCUCAAAAAGGUGUGGAAGUAAAUCACAAUAUUUGUAGAAAUCAACAUGAAGGAAGACAGGAAUUCAUUGUGGAAUUGUAAACAGAAAGCACUUAGGUAAGAGUUUAGUAAAACAUGUUUGCUGCCCAGUAGGAAAAAGCAGCAUGUACUAUAGUUGAACCUUAGAGAAUCAUGGAAAUAAAUUCCUCAUCUCAGUGAAAUGUUCUGGUGACAUAUUUUAUUUGUGUAGUGUUAACAGGGCUACCCCGGUCAUCUCUGGGGUUAGUGAUGCUAGGUGGCACCUCAGGAGAAGUUUUGAUUCUGAGUUCAGCUUCCUAUGAGCCAGGUCUCAAGCACCAAGGGGCCACGAAAACAUCACGUUCAAUGAGAGAGGGAGGGA
rnacentral:lncRNA from 1 species